rnacentral:rRNA from 1 species
UCCAGGCCCUACGGGGCGCACCAGGCGGGAAACCUCCGCAAUGCGGUAACCCGUGACGGGGUCACCCCGAGUGCUCUCCUUUUGGAGAGCUUUUCCCUGCUGCAGUAAGGCAGGGGUAAUAAGUGGGGGGCAAGUCUGGUGUCAGCCGCCGCGGUAA